UACGAAGGGGGCUAGCGUUGUUCGGAAUCACUGGGCGUAAAGCGCACGUAGGCGGAUUGUUAAGUUAGGGGUGAAAUCCCGGGGCUCAACCUCGGAACGGCCUCUGAUACUGGCAGUCUUGAGUUCGGGAGAGGAGUGUGGAACUCCGAGUGUAGAGGUGAAAUUCGUAGAUAUUCGGAAGAACACCAGAGGCGAAGGCGGCACUCUGGCCCGAUACUGACGCUGAGGUGCGAAAGCGUGGGGAGCAAACAGG
rnacentral:misc_RNA from 1 species